CCUACGGGAGGCAGCAGUAGGGAAGAGUGCGCAAUGGGGGAAACCCUGAAGCAACAACGCCGCGUGGAGGAUGAAGGUUUUAGGAUUGUAAACUCCUUUUGUUAGAGAAGACCAUUACGGUACCUAUCCAAUUAUCCCCGGCUAACUCCGUGCCAGCAGCCGCGGUAAUACGGAGGGUGCAAGCGUUACUCGGAAUCACUGGGCGUAAAGGGUGCGUAGGCGGGGUAGUAAGUCAGAUGUGAAAUCCUGUAGCUUAACUACAGAACUGCAUUUGAAACUGUUACUCUGGAGUGUGGGAGAGGUAGGUGGAAUUCUUGGUGUAGGGGUGAAAUCCGUAGAGAUCAGGAGGAAUACUGAUUGCGAAGGCGACCUGCUGGAACAUAACUGACGCUGAUGCACGAAAGCGUGGGGAGCAAACAGGAUUAGAUACCCGGGUAGUC
rnacentral:rRNA from 1 species